rnacentral:misc_RNA from 1 species
AAGUCGUAACAAGGUUUCCGUAGGUGAACCUGCGGAAGGAUCAUUAAAUAAUCAAUAAUUUUGGCUUGUCCAUUAUUAUCUAUUUACUGUGAACUGUAUUAUUACUUGACGCUUGAGGGAUGCUCCACUGCUAUAAGGAUAGGCGGUGGGGAUGUUAACCGAGUCAUAGUCAAGCUUAGGCUUGGUAUCCUAUUAUUAUUUACCAAAAGAAUUCAGAAUUAAUAUUGUAACAUAGACCUAAAAAAUCUAUAAAACAACUUUUAACAACGGAUCUCUUGGUUCUG